rnacentral:rRNA from 1 species
CUAUAAUGCAGUCGAGCGGACAGAUGGGAGCUUGCUCCCUGAUGUUAGCGGCGGACGGGUGAGUAACACGUGGGUAACCUGCCUGUAAGACUGGGAUAACUCCGGGAAACCGGGGCUAAUACCGGAUGCUUGUUUGAACCGCAUGGUUCAAACAUAAAAGGUGGCUUCGGCUACCACUUACAGAUGGACCCGCGGCGCAUUAGCUAGUUGGUGAGGUAACGGCUCACCAAGGCGACGAUGCGUAGCCGACCUGAGAGGGUGAUCGGCCACACUGGGACUGAGACACGGCCCAGACUCCUACGGGAGGCAGCAGUAGGGAAUCUUCCGCAAUGGACGAAAGUCUGACGGAGCAACGCCGCGUGAGUGAUGAAGGUUUUCGGAUCGUAAAGCUCUGUUGUUAGGGAAGAACAAGUGCCGUUCAAAUAGGGCGGCACCUUGACGGUACCUAACCAGAAAGCCACGGCUAACUACGUGCCAGCAGCCGCGGUAAUACGUAGGUGGCAAGCGUUGUCCGGAAUUAUUGGGCGUAAAGGGCUCGCAGGCGGUUUCUUAAGUCUGAUGUGAAAGCCCCCGGCUCAACCGGGGAGGGUCAUUGGAAACUGGGGAACUUGAGUGCAGAAGAGGAGAGUGGAAUUCCACGUGUAGCGGUGAAAUGCGUAGAGAUGUGGAGGAACACCAGUGGCGAAGGCGACUC